AGCGGCGGACGGGUGAGUAAUGCCUAGGAAAUUGCCCUGAUGUGGGGGAUAACCAUUGGAAACGAUGGCUAAUACCGCAGGAUGCCUACGGGCCAAAGAGGGGGACCUUCGGGCCUCUCGCGUCAGGAUAUGCCUAGGUGGGAUUAGCUAGUUGGUGAGGUAAGGGCUCACCAAGGCGACGAUCCCUAGCUGGUCUGAGAGGAUGAUCAGCCACACUGGAACUGAGACACGGUCCAGACUCCUACGGGAGGCAGCAGUGGGGAAUAUUGCACAAUGGGCGCAAGCCUGAUGCAGCCAUGCCGCGUGUGUGAAGAAGGCCUUCGGGUUGUAAAGCACUUUCAGUCGUGAGGAAGGUAUGUAGUUAAUAGCGUAUAUAUUUGACGUUAGCGACAGAAGAAGCACCGGCUAACUCCGUGCCAGCAGCCGCGGUAAUACGGAGGGUGCGAGCGUUAAUCGGAAUUACUGGGCGUAAAGCGCAUGCAGGUGGUUUGUUAAGUCAGAUGUGAAAGCCCGGGGCUCAACCUCGGAAUAGCAUUUGAAACUGGCAGACUAGAGUACUGUAGAGGGGGGUAGAAUUUCAGGUGUAGCGGUGAAAUGCGUAGAGAUCUGAAGGAAUACCGGUGGCGAAGGCGGCCCCCUGGACAGAUACUGACACUCAGAUGCGAAAGCGUGGGGAGCAAACAGGAUUAGAUACCCUGGUAGUCCACGCCGUAAACGAUGUCUACUUGGAGGUUGUGGCCUUGAGCCGUGGCUUUCGGAGCUAACGCGUUAAGUAGACCGCCUGGGGAGUACGGUCGCAAGAUUAAAACUCAAAUGAAUUGACGGGGGCCCGCACAAGCGGUGGAGCAUGUGGUUUAAUUCGAUGCAACGCGAAGAACCUUACCUACUCUUGACAUCCAGAGAACUUUUCAGAGAUGGAUUGGUGCCUUCGGGAACUCUGAGACAGGUGCUGCAUGGCUGUCGUCAGCUCGUGUUGUGAAAUGUUGGGUUAAGUCCCGCAACGAGCGCAACCCUUAUCCUUGUUUGCCAGCGAGUAAUGUCGGGAACUCCAGGGAGACUGCCGGUGAUAAACCGGAGGAAGGUGGGGACGACGUCAAGUCAUCAUGGCCCUUACGAGUAGGGCUACACACGUGCUACAAUGGCGCAUACAGAGGGCGGCCAACUUGCGAAAGUGAGCGAAUCCCAAAAAGUGCGUCGUAGUCCGGAUUGGAGUCUGCAACUCGACUCCAUGAAGUCGGAAUCGCUAGUAAUCGUGGAUCAGAAUGCCACGGAAUACGUUCCCGGGCUUGUACACACCGCCCGUCACACCAU
rnacentral:rRNA from 1 species